CUUGGGGCCAUGGGGGUUGGGCCCCAUGUAAGGAGCUGUCGGGGGAGCAUGUGUGGGGAUGUUUGUUCCUUCUCUCUUCCAAGUUGGGUUCAUCAUCUCCAGGACGUGUUGGAGCCAAUCAGCAGUUUCCUAGAUGUGGGGGGUCAGUGCUCCUGUUCCUUGCAGGAAGGAGACAUAUGUUCCUGGCAGUGGAGUUUUACUUUCAAUUUCCCCAGUCAUGUGAUUUCUCUGAACUUGGAUGCAGCAUUAACCUUUUGAGUUUCACUUCUUGACCCCCAGCCCUUUCUAGCCAGUGUUCAGCUCACACAGUGUCUUCUCACUACACUUCAGCAACUGCCUUCCUAGGAAACAAAGCCGAGCUGCAGUAGCUGCUUCAUCCCAGAUACAGGGAACCGGAACAUCUGAAAGCUGCAAGUUUAGCAUCUUAAAAUGUCAAGCUAUGUCAUUCAAGUUGCCAACAACAGUAAGGGAUGUGUCACCGUUGUUGUUAGUAUCAAUCCGGUAUUACGAUCCUUGGGUGAUUCUCUGGUUGUGACUGUCCCUGGCUAUGAGCUCCUCAAGUCAUUCUUCACUAAAGAUGAGCGGAGAGUUUCACCGGGGGAAACCUCAGUUGUAAACGAAGUUGGUAUCCGGAAAAUUUUCACCUAUGGAGUUGGGUUGACAGGAGCAGAAUGCUAUUACAUUACAGUGACCAGAGAGGAUGAUGAGUGGGUGGCUGUGUGUCAAACUCCUCUGCAUUGCACCUGGAUUGUGGAUGACGACAAAAUCUACCAGGAAGAUAAACCGUCGAUAUGCAAACCAUUUGGUUUUUCAGCUGAAAAAUCCAGCUACAUCAUUAAAGUUACCAACAAAACCGAGGAAGUCAUCAGUGCUGGAAUAGCAGAUCUUCAUGAACCACAAGUGAGCACUGGUCUAAUAGUAAUUUCAAGCCAUGUGAUAGACCCUUACUUCAAGUCAGGGGUUACAGUUUGUCCAGGAGAAACAAAAACUAUUCAGAAAGUGAUCCCCAGUAAUUUAUCCUCCUACAAAUCCAUCGCUAAUGAUAUGUCAACCUAUUCUAUAAAGGUGAUCAGGGAAAGGGAUAAACAGAUCGCUCAGUGUAACACCCCUUUGCAUUGCACCUGGAUCGUGGAGAGCCAUGGAAUGUGGCAAGAAAAUAAACCUACAGAAGUUUACAAAUUUCAAUAACAUGCUUUUCUCCUGCUGCUUGCUUAUAAAAAUAUGGAGAAGAUGACCCCAAUGAAUACGCCUUAUAAAUCCAUGGGGCUUCGCCAGUAUUUGCUUUAGGAGCCAACACAACAGUUGUAUGUGUCCUGGUGACUAAAUAUGUGAAUUAAUCAUUUGCAACAAAUAAUUUAUCUGACAAUUUUUUUCAAUUUUGAAUAAAUCACUUGCAAAUAAUUUCUUAGCA
rnacentral:lncRNA from 1 species